GACGAACGCUGGCGGCGUGCUUAACACAUGCAAGUCGAACGGAAAUGCCCUGCUUUUGUACCGUGCUCGAGAGGAGAACAGGUGAGAAACACGUGAGGAACCUGCCCCUGACUUUGGGGUAACAUCAGGAAACUCGAACUAAUACCGAGUAGGAACUCCUGAAACACAGAGGGGGUUGGAAAAUUACGCAGGUUGGGGAUGGACUCGCGGCUUCUCAGCUUGUUGGUGGGGUAUUGGCUUACCAAGGCAUUGACGGGUAGCCGGCCUGAGAGGGUGACAGGACACAUAGGGACUGAGAUACGGCCCAGACUGCUACGGUAGGCAGGAGUGGGGAAUAUUGCACACUGGGCGGAAGCGUGAUGGAGCAACGUCGCGUGCUGGAUGACGGCCUUCGGGUUGUAAACCGCUUUAGCGUGUGACGAAGCGUGAGUGACGGUAAUGGGUAAAGAAGCACCGGCUAACUACGUG
rnacentral:rRNA from 1 species